UGAAACAGUCGCUAGUCUCGCACUAAAGUUUUAGCGCAAAGUUAAAAUUUUCAGAAAAUUUAAGUGCCAUUUUUUUUUUGUUGUGAAAUUUAACUUGAGGAAAAGAGAAAAAGAAGCACUCUUCUUACGGCUUAGAUUUUUCCCAGAUCAAAUACUCCCGAAGGUUAGCUAUUUCCCCAAAUCAAAGACUCCUAGAACUCCCCAAUUCGUCGAAAAUCUCCCCUCAACAUACUCUAGUUGUGUGUGGUCGUUUGGAGGUGAGCAGGCGGCGGCUGUUGUUGUGAAGAAGAAGAGCGGCGGCGGCUUAGGGUGGUCCGGCGGGCCUAAGGUCUUGCUGCUAGGUUUUUUGGGUGUUACCGGAAUUCCGACGGUAAGUCGAUUUGUUUUCAUCAGUUUGUUGUUCAGUGAAUCAUGUUGUUCAGUGGAUCUAUGUCUCCUCAUAGCUAUUGUGGGUGGGAAUCCUGAUUUGUAUUUCCACUCUCGCUGCAGAACAAAUAUUUUUUCAUUCUAUUUUGUAUAGUGUAAUUUUUCGUGUACUUUAGAGUGAGUGAGAUGACUAACAAUGGUUGCUCAUACCAGUGCUAAACUUAGCAGGGAAUCAUAAGACUGGUGUGUAUUGGCUCUUACGACGACAACCCUAGUUUUUUCAUUUUUCAACUCUAUAAAUUUCAUCCAAUUAAAUUAAUGGGUUCAAUUAUAUGUAUUUUUAUGGGUUUAUUACUCGCAUUUAUUAUUGAUUAAUAUGUUGUACUUUCUGCUAUUUGUUCUCUUUUUGAAACUCAAGAAUCCAGGUACGGUUUCAUUUGUUGAUUUCUUUGGUUAUUCAGAAAUGUGGGGCUUCAGUGAACUGAAUUUUGUGUCUUAUUUGAAUUGAAGUUCGAUUUUGUUGGUUUCAGGGAUUAUAUUGAUGCACAGAAAAAAUUCUACUCGGCAAUUCUAGAAAAAAUUCAGGAAUAAGUCAAUACUCCUUGAUUUAGAAGCAUUGAUUUCUCAUAAUCAAUAGGCUAAGAUAUGAUUAUGGACAUUUUAAAGCCAACUUCCUUUCUAUGUAAAGGUUUUAUGCUUGCUACAUAUAGGAGCGAGGCAUCAUCUCAAUUUUGGUUGGGAAGUACAUUAGUUUCUCAAUACUAAAAGAGAGGAAGAUUAUUGAAGCUCAGGCCAAGUUCCAUGAUUGUCUGUUACAAUUUUUAGUGUCAAGUUCUUGUGAAAAUUUUUAUAGGAGUGUAGAUUUAUGAAAUGAAACCUUCUUCUCUACAGAAAUUGGUUACUGUUAACAAUUUACUCUUCUGUUAAACAGAAUAUUAAUAUACCAGACUCCGAAGACUUCUGUUGGCUCACCUUAAAUGGAUGUUUUGGUGUCAGUUUUGGUGUCUAUUUAAAUUCUCCUGAGUGAGAAGCUUUCUGUUGGUUGCAAGUAUAGUAUUGACUCUGCAUGAGCAAGUUAUUGUCCUUGAUAGGCUAAUUAGGUUGUUUCUGUGAUGAUGAAAUUGAAUGAAUUUAUUCAAGGGAAGAAGUCUUUAGGGAAAUAAUUCCUUUUGAAUAAUAAACUGGAACUUAGAUUAAAGGUUGUUGCUUAUU
rnacentral:lncRNA from 1 species